AAGUCGUGCUCCAGCUGCUUCGUCUUCCACCGGGCGCGGCGGUUCUGGAACCACACCGCCACCUGCCGCGGCUGCAGGCCGAGCUUCCGGGCCAGCUCGCUCUUCCGCUCCGGCUCCAGCUUGUUCUCCGCCUCGAAGCUCCGCUCCAGUAAGCGUACCUUUUACUUCAACACUUUAUGUUACUUCAUUCGAUCAAAUCCAGCAUUUAUUCUGAUACAUCACUGUUUCCUAAAGCCAACACCCAACCAAGAACAUAUUCUUCCUUUAAACUAAGCAUGCAUCCAACGAAGCAGGGCAACUCUCUCUCUCUCUCUCUCUCUCUCUCUCUGCCUCCCAAUAGUUCGAUCUCCUUCGUGUCUAUCUUCAGGUUUCAUGUAGAGUUAAGCGACUGACACGCAACAGGUGAUGAGGGUCAUUCAUGCCCAUGUUCACAACAAGAAACAACACAACAGGCCAUAUGGCAGCGGGAAUUUGAUCAAACACAUGUCCUCGUGGCCAUACAUCGGUAGAAUUUUCUACCAAUGUAAUAGAUUUACUGUUCCUAUCAUUGUCUCGUUUGCUGUUUUGUCUUCGUUUUGUUUUCACGCACUCACAUCAAGAUCCACAAAUAGCAACUCAUGAGAUGAUCAAAAGGUGGAGGGAGGAGAUGUAGACUAUUACCU
rnacentral:lncRNA from 1 species